CCGGGGGACACGCCUUCCCCGGGCACUGGCGCGCGCGCUCGUGACAAAAGAAAACUUCAGGUGCGGUUCUCCAGCUUGCAAACAGUUAAGUGACUUCCUGCAAACGCUAGAGUCCCAGCAACCGGCCUUCCAAUCAAAAAUUCGGGGAUGCAGCAUACUUGGAGGCAUAUUUUUAAUAAUCAUUCGAUCUAGUGCACAAAUUGACUAUGAGUAAUUCAUCUUAAAACCAAAGUCUUUUUUACUGGCUCACUGUUCCUACCUGGAACACCCCAUCUUUGCUUCUAUGAUGCCUUUUCAUUCCUCUCCUUCCCAAUGCAAUCUACUCUAGGUGCCCGAGGAGGGAAAGGAGCCGGUCGAGAUACUACGGAGUGCAGUUCGGAACAGAGGAGGUCCACCUGCGCUGGGGAAUCUCAAGUCAGUCUUCUGCCCUUUCCACCCAGCCUGACCCCCCAGCUGCUGAACCCCCAGCACACUACACCGCCCCCUUCUGCCGUCUCCUAUGGACACCCUCUCCUUCCCGGAGAUUCCAGCACCUGACCCACAGUCCUCCCCCUUCGCGCCACCCCUGCUAAUGUUUCAGGGGAAUCUAGCAGCCUUGUGGAAUAAUGACCUGUCAGGAACCCCAGUCGCCCCACGGCAACCCUUUUGCCCUCCACCUUGGACCUUUGUCAUGUGGAUACCCUGGACCUUUUUUACUUCUAAAGAACAGCACCACCUCUGCUGUCUUCAUCUCAAGCCAACCGGUGCCUGACCAACAUCUCUAACCCCUCCACCUUAUUUUUACUCUAAUAACCCACUUGAAUGGUUCUUUGACCUUACUUUGACCUGCAGCCUACUCUUUCACUGUUCCUUAUGGCCCUUACAGUCUCACAACCCUCCUAUCCAGCUUCGAGUUCAUGGUCUCUGUCCAUCAUUCUACCAUCCAUGCACCUCUCUCUGCCUUCUUCCUGGGACCACCCACCCGGCAAGACCCUGAUUCUGUCCAGCUUAACCCACAGCACAAAUCCAACAGUGCCGUCCUCACUAAUUCUACGAUCAUGAAUCUCAAGUUCAUGAUCAACACCGCCCUUCUGCUUUUCCCUACUCUGUUGGCUCUCUCACACUCUGAAAUGACCCUGCACCCCUCUCCCCUUCCUCACUCUGAGCUGAAAACCUUGCUCCUUAAUCUCUGACAAAAUAAACGCAGUUUCACAAGAACUGCCCUAUCUUGCCAGCACCAUAGCUUCCAUCUCACCUGCCUCUCUGCCCUGGCGUGGCCUUCCCUCCUGCCACAGGGAGGUAGUAGCAUCCGGGCCCUUAGGUAAACCAGAUCUUUCCACUUGGCACCAUGGUCCGUCCCUCUCUCAACCACUCCUGGGAUUAUCCCCUAUCUCCUGCUCCUCAGCUGUCCCCUUCUCUUAAGUAAUUCUUGGGGACACAAAAACAUGGUGUAGUUCUUCCUUUCUAUUUUUGAGAGAGAGAGAGGGAGACUGAGAAAGAGUGAAAAUGUGUGUGUAAGCAGCAGGGGUGGGGCAGAGAGAGAGAAUGAAUGAAUGAAUCUUAAGCAGUCUCCACGCUCAGCACAGAGACCAAUGUGGGGCUCAGUCUCAUGACCCUGAGAUGGUGCCCUGAGCCGACAUGGAGAGUCCAAUGUUUAACGGACUGAGCCCCCCAGGCACCCCUUCCCUUCCUUUCUUUAUAUGUGUUUGUACGUAUCUCCUUAGCCCCCAAUUCCCCUCCAUUAUUACUCUUUUUUGCCACUUUUUUCUUGGCUGCAGACAUCUCAAAGUUGCCUGUGUGCCUGCAUCUCCCAUUCCCUCUUGAUCUCAGGCCCAUCUGACUUUCACUGUCCUUGCACCGCCAAAACCACUGUUGUCAAGGUCACGAAGGAGCGCCAUCCUACCGGAUCCCCUGGCCAGGCAUUUCCCUUCAUGCAGCUUAGAGCAAAGAAGACUGAGGAGGACAAUGAAGGAGGAGGAAAACGGGAAAAAUACGCCGUCUUAGAAGCAAAGGGGAGACAGUGUUUCAGGGAAAAGAGUUUAAUUCUUCAUCUCCUUUGCUGGUUUCAUUUCUUCUUCGGACUCUAAACAUCGCAGUGCCCUGUCCUUUGGCUCUUCUCUACACCUACACUCGCUCUCUCGGUGACAGGAUCCUUACCUUCUAGCUGCCAAUGACUCCCAAAAAUAUUUUUUUUAAAGAUUUUAUUUCUUUGAGAGAGAGUGAGUGAGCACACGAGCUGGGCAAAGGGGCAGAGGGAGAAGCAAACUCGCAGCUGACCAGGGAGCCCGAUGCGGGACUCGACCCCAGGACCCUGGGAUCAUGACCUGAGCUGAAGGCAGACCCUUAACCCACUGAGCCACCCAGGAGCUCCUGACUCUCAAGUUUUUAUCUUCAGUCUAGACCUCACUCCUGAAUUCCACAUUUGACUGUCCAUCUGUCCAUUCAUCAUUUCCACUUGAUUAUCUAGCAGGCAUCUCAAACUUCACAUAUUUCUAAUGGAACUAUUGGUUAUUUCUCCCUACAAUGGCUUCAUACAAGGCCCUCCCAUCUUUGGAAAAGGCAUCCCUGUGCUUCUGGUUGCUCAGGCCAGGAACUGAGGAGUUAUCUUUCAUUCUGUUCCUUAACCUAUACCCCUGGGCUAAGCCCUCAGGAACCCUGUCAGCUGUGAUUUCCAAAUAUAUCCUGAAUCUGCACUUGUCAAUUUCACGACCACCUUCCUCUCUCUCGGGUUGCUAACUGCAAGAGCCUUCUAGCUGCUCUCCGUGCUCCCACUGAGCCCUGGCUUCUUUUUUUCUCAACACAACUGCCACAGUGCUCUCCUUGACCCCCAUAUCAGGUCAGGUCCCUCCUCUGCUCAGAUCUCCACAGUGCUCCCCAUCUCUCCUUGAGUAACUGUCCAAGUCCUUAGCCAGGCUCUUUCUUCUACCUGGAAACUCCGCUCCACGAGGGUUCUGCAUGGGCUGCUGGGAUGGCUCAGUUGGUUGAGUGUCUGCCUUUGGCUCAGGUCGUGAUCCCAGGGUCCUGAGAUUGAGCCCCACCUGGGCUCCCUGCUCAGCGGGGAGCCUGCUUCUCCCUCUCCCUCUAUCCCAGCACCGCCCCCCGCACGGUGCUCUCUAUCUCAAAUGAAUAAAUAAAAUCUGUAAAAAUCAAGAGAGGGUUCUGCAUGGCUCACUCCCACACCUUCCUCAAGUCUUUGCUCCCCAGUCCCCCUCUAAAAGUGGUCGAUCUACCUUGACCGUUGCAUUUAGACAACUGCGAUUGCUCGCUCCUAAGUUUUCUUUUUUCCUGUGACACUUAGCAUAUUAUGACAUGCUACGCAAUUUGCUUAUUUAUGAGAGAGAGAGAGUGUGUGUGUGCAUGUGCAUAAGUGUUGGGGGAGGAGCAGAGAAGGAGAGAAUCUUAAGUAGACUGCACCCUUACUGCACAGGCUACUGUGGGUCUCGAACUCAUGACCCUGAGAUCACAACCUGAGCUGAAAUCAAGAGUCAGACCCUUAACUGAGCCACCCAGGGGCCCUGCCUCUCUACAUUUACAGAAAAACAAAAAUGAGAUCAAGCUAUACUUUUCAAAAUCUCGUUUUCAGCUAACAAUUUUCUGUGAAUGGCUUCCAUAUCCUACAUCACAUUCUUCUACCUUAUUAUUUUAAAAAAUAAUUUCUCUCUUGAAUAAGUAAACAUUCACACGGUUUAGUUAAAAAAGUAUAAAAGGCUAUGUAAUGCAAAAUCUCUUUCCCAACCUUGUCCCUUUUCUUGUUACCUUUUUCGGAAGCAACGGAAUAUUUCUGUCCGGCACAACCCUCCCCCCCCUUUUCAGGAGGUAAGUUCUUCCUCAGGUAUUUUAUGUACAUCCAAGCAAAUACAUAUAUACAUCUUGCUUACAUUGAACACAAGUGGCUAAUAUCAAAUCAGUGCUCUGUGGUUUACUUUAUUUUUUAAAAAGAUAGAUUUAUUUAUUUAUUUUAGAAAGAGAAAGCACGAACAGGAGGGACAGAGGGAGAAAAAAACCUCAAGCAGACUCUGCACUGAGCUUGGAGCCCAUUGUGGGGUGUCCUCUCAUGACCCUGAGAUCAGGACCUGAGCAGAAACCCAGAGUCUGACGCUCAACCGACAGGGCCAUCCAGGCACCCCUAUACCUUACUUUAUGAACAUAAUAAUAUAUCUUGACAAUCACUAAAGAUCAAUAUAUGUAGUUUCCUUAAGUUUAAGGGCUUCCAUGUAAUUCUGAUAUAAGGGAUGCCUGGGUGGCUCAGCUGGUUAAGCAUCUGCCUUUGGUUCAGGUCAUGAUCAUGACCUCAGGGGAUUGAGCCCAAAAUUAACUCCUUGCUCGGCCGGACAGCAGCUUCUCCCUCUGCCUGCAGCUCUCCCUGCUUGUGCUCUCUCUGGCAAAUAAAUAAAAUUAAAAAAAAAAAAAAAAGAAUUCUGAUAUAAAUGUACCUUAAUUUAUCUAACAAGUCAGCAUUUAGGUUACUUUGAAUCUUUUGGAAUUUCAAAAAUUAUUACCAUAAAUAACCUUCGUUCACACUGGGGCAAUGGAGCCAUAGGAGGAAGUUCUUGAAAUGAAACGCCAGAUUAAAAGAUACCUGCAUUCGUAACUCUGAGAGAUGUCAAACUGCUUUCUCCAGACUUUGUACCAGUUUAUAGACGCCUCCUCCUAAGUCUGCAGGAGCACGUAUUAUU